GGGGGGGGGGAGAGAUAGCAAACACAGCAAAUACAGUUACCCUUGACAGACACGGCUGUGUCCAACGAUGGAAACAAUAGCUUCAUCACUUUAAAACUGGCAAAAUUUAAUCACUCGCAAAAACACACACUACAAAAAUCUAUCAUUAAGAGUUGAGGAAAUCUAUCCUGAAAGACCUUAAGAUACUUGGAAAGCAAAAGCACCUGCAUAUUGAACUAUAAAUGAGCAGAACUCUUUUAGAGCAGAACAUGCGGCCCACGCUCUGCGCCCCCGGCGGUCCGGGCUCUCGCCGUGCUGCAGACGAAGAACCCGGCAGAGCGGGAGAGCGGAGAGAAGCGACUGGGGCAAACAGACUGUCUCAUCAUCUCAAGAAGGGGAACAUCUCUAUUGCACUUAAGAAGAUGAGGCAAUAGAGCCCAAAAGUACUGAGACAGCACCAGUGAUCUGAAUCUUGAAAUUUUAUUCCCUGGGAAACGAGUCAGGAAGGAAAAGGCAGAGCUUGCCUCCAGCUGAAGUCUUUGAGAUUGGUCAGAUUCAACGUGUUACAAACAAACAUAUUCCACCUGUUACAACAAUCUGGCAUAUUACUUCCUUGAUACGUGAUGAUACAAUACCUCUCAGGUUUGCUGAGUAGCAAAGAGAAAUAGUAAUGUCAGGAUAACUCACUGGUUGGAAAUUAUUUACAAUGCCUCAACAAUGAAUGGGAAAUCAAAACAUUAAAUACUGCAAGCAAGAAGACCAUCCUAUUUUGCACUGAAAAAGAAGAAAAACAAACAACGGGUGGAACUUCACUGCAAAUGUUGUCUUACGAAGUGUCCCUGUAUCAGGAAGCUGUCAGAAUGUCCUGAAUUGGAAGGAUGUGGGAAAGGAUCACUGAACCCUGUUCCUGGUCCUGCACAGAAAAACCCCAAGAAUCACACCAUGUGCUAUGUUCCAGGUCUUAGCUGAUUGUAUUCAAAGAGUCUUAUUUUCCUGCAAUAUAUUAUGAAUGGCUUUGGAAGAAACACCUGGAAAUGCUAAUAUUGUGUGGUGACAGCAAAAUGCUGGAAUAAAAGAGGGAAGAAGCUGGAUAUCCUGGCAGUUCUGCAGUACACCAAGUCUGUUAUUUCUGUUCUGUCUUUAUAAUGGCCAUAAAAUAUGAGCUGGGAGUAUGAUGUCAAUGCAUCCACUUUCAAUAAUUGAUAUGAUGAAUAAUCUCAACCUUCUGACACUUUCUGUAUCUUCUCACAUCUCAGGAAACUUCAUUCAUCAACCACAUUUGAAAUGUUUAAGUAAUCUCAGUGAUGUAUGGAGCACUGAAACUCCCUUGUUAGAAAUCUAUGCUACUAACAUUCUAUCAAAUUAAAAAGCCACUGAGCUCUUGUGCAUAAAAUUAUCAUAAAUUAUCUCUGAAGGUUCAUUGCUGUUUGGAAUGUUUAAUUGCUCACUCAGCUGAACUUCAGCAGCUCAAGAUUAUUAAUCAAUUUGUCAGAAGGUUUCUCAUAAUGUCAUAUUUUACACUGUGGUUAUAUGCAAGGAAAACCCAUGUGCAAGACAGUUUUAUGCAGCAAGUCAAAAGUAUCCAUGCAUACCUUUCACAAUAUUCAUUUCAUAUAUUUAUGAGGGUAUUUUUCAGUUGUUGAUUUCUCACAAAACAUAAGAAAAUUGUAAUUACCUCAGUCUAAUUUAUCUGGGUGGAAAACUAGAUUCUCAAAAAUAUAUUUAAAAGUAAAAUGGAGACAGAUAAUAAAAUGUAACUAUUGAAUCAUUCAAUCCUGGCCUACUGUUGAUUGUCUUCACUACAAUAAAUAUUCUUCUAAAUGCAGUAAAGAUGUUUUGAAAAUGCCAUACCUUAAAUGUACAUGAACAGCAUCUUCAGCCAUUUUUCUUGCACAAAUGCACAGAAUGCAUUUUUGUUUUAAAGUAAUUUUUCAGGAGAGAAUUUAACUUUGAUGUACUAAACCAUGUAUUUCAUCUUAAUUGAAACACAUGUUCCAUUAUUUGCAUUGAAUAUUUUUUAUUAUUUUAAUGGUUAUCAAUUCAUCCUUUUUAUACAGUUUUCUUUCUUUUGUUUUACAAAUGCAUAAGACUUAUUUUUCAAGUGUAUAAGACUUUAUUAAUGGGCUGAUGGUAAUAUUUUUAUUUGCAAAUUUUUUUAUCCGUCAUUUCUUUUAGGAGAAACAUAGAAGUAGAGGAUUCUGCAUUUCCUGUUCUGGAGAAUUCAAAAGUGUUUUAGAGAAACAUAUUUAAUUCUCCUGAAGCCAUUUUAUUUUCUUAAACCAGAAAAGUUUCAAAAUAUAAAGACUGGAAAAACCAUGGACAUUAUCCACUUUUUCUACUCCAUGAAUGAUCAUCAUAUUAUUCCCACGCAUGUGGAAAGAUAGAGGAUGAAAGCCAACAUGUAGUUAAUAAAUGUCAAGUAUCUAUUUGAUCUUAAGUAUUUAUGUAUAAAUAAAGUAUAUCAUACAUGGUAUUUCUACCAAAAACUGAAAAUGAAAGAAAAUAUCAGGUUGGGUGUUUGUUUUGUCAAGCUUCUUGCAUGAAAUUAAAAUAUUGGAAUGAUAAAUAUUCUUGUGUGUCAAAAACAAAUGGUCCAGUUAUCAGAAAUUUGCUGUGAACUGGCAUUAGUAUUUUUUUAUUCAUGUUUUUCUACUGUAUUUCUUCAAAGCCUUUCUUAAAAUCUAUUAUGUCCUUUAGCUGAUGAUAAAAUGGAAACAAAACAAAAGUAAUAAAUAAAUCACCUACAUUUUCUGACAUCUGGGGUUAUAAAAGCACAUCACAACAAAUGCAAAGCAGAUCCUUGGUACAAUUUCAUCACCAUUACCCAGCUCCAUUACAACAAAACUUCUAACACCAAAAAAUAAAGAUUGUCAUUAUGUUUGGCUUUGAUUCAACUCCAAAAUGAUAUGCUGAAGAUUGAGUAUAAUAUCGUCUGAAGAAAUAGGAAGAGAAGCCAGAUCUUCAGAUUCCCAAUAAUAUGUCUUAACACAUGAAUCCUUCCUUCAUCACCCUGCUCAACAGUGAUGCCUUACAGAUGAACAACUGAGCUGUGAUUAAACAGCUUAUAGACUUUUCAGCAUUUGUUUCUUUCUUUUAAUCUUUUCAUUAUACAAGUCUGCCAUAGCAUAUAUUAGCACUAGGAAAAUAUAGGAAUUAGAAAUGCAGAGACGAACAUGUUUAAAAUGCACUAUGUAUGUGGCAGAUCACAAUUUCUAGAAACAUUCAUUUCUGUAAGGUCUUUGUAGUUCUUCCUUUAUCCAACAUCAAUUUAUUUUGCCAUUGAUUACUUCAAAUCAACUUGGAUUGAACAUACUAUUUUAACAUAUUAUGCACUUUCCCAAACCUGCACAUACUUGGCUCAAAUUACCUCAGAACCAUGCUGAAAACAAACUCAUCACUAAGAAUUGAGACUGUUACUGUUUCAAUGAAAAGAAAUUGAGGACCAGACAGGAGUUUUGUAUAUUAAAAAGGUUAGGCAUUUCUGACCAUGUACAGAGAAAAUUAAAGUGGUGCUGUAAUUAGCUCAUCGAUAAAUCAAUAGGUCUGAAUGAUAACUGGAAUGGUUUGGAUGUCAAGAAUCCAGAAGCUUAUUAUGUGUGUAAUAAAGAUCAAGGCACAUAA